CAAAAUAGUGGUGAUGUCAGAAGCAAGAGUUCAAUCUGCUGCACUGAUUUCCUGGGUGAGAUCUCUGCCAGUGUUUGGGAAGGAUAAAUGGGGCGAAUGCAGUAAUUAGAGGCCUGCCAGCUCCAGCUGGAUCCUGAGUGGACUGAUGGAAGGGCUGAGGUGGGAAAUGAGUAAUGAAGGAUUAAAAAGGAAUCAGAUCAGUAAAAUAAAAGCAAAGGCGUGAAUCUCUACCAACAGGUCUAAAGGCAGUAGGUCUCACAAAAGGAGUUAUUUGCUGGCUGGUUUGGAGAGAAGAGAUAUCCAUGUACCCAUAGUUCCAACAACAUCCCACCACCCAUGGGGAUGCUGCUGGCUCAAUCCAAGCCCGUCUUCAAGGCAAAGCCAGGGAAACCCAGCUACAAGCGUGGUGUGGAGGUGUUCCUCAUCAGCAUGGGUGGUCUUCAUUCAUUGCCAAACCUAUGCACCGUGCAGCAACUUCCCUGCUUGUUUUCCUACAUCCGGUGAAGCAAAAGCAAACUCUUUGCUGAAAUGUUCUUCGCCAUCAGCUCAGAGCCCACCCUUCUGGACUCCCUCUGCUCCACCAGCAGCUUCCAUGCGUUGGGUUUCUUCACAUCUCCAGCUGCACACGAAGUCCGCCGCUAUUUUGAGGUCCCUCUCCUUCCCCUCCAUCCCCAGGGGCUUCUAGCUGAGCAGCAGAAUAGAAAACGACAGAUUAUUGCUGCAUCUCACUGAGCCUCUCUCUUGCACAUAGAAGAAAGACGGUCCAUUUUGCUCCCAAGCGUUUUGAAAGGGAGUCAGCACGGGAAAUGCCAGGAAGGAACUGCACUUUUUCCAACCCUUUGUGCUUUUUGCUGCCCCGGUAUCUCCCCAGGAUGCUGCCCUGGCUGCAGUGCCCCACGUCCCACUGAAGACCCACACCAUCCCCUUGGAUGCUUCCUAUCUAUUCCCCAAAGCCUGAGAGCAGCACGAAGCACUGUGAGCCCUGGUAGCAUCCUGCUUGGUCUGCAUACCAGCUCUAAUCUUGCUUCUCAUUCAUACAUCUUAUUUAUUCCUCUUGGGUAACAACCAUUAAUCUGCAGCUGUACUUCUUUUACCCUCCACUUGGCAACCUUUUUUUGGCUAAACGGGUGCAAGUUUACUUAGGCAAUUAUGCUGCUGGAUGUGUAUUUACAGGGAUUCUUCAUUUCUGCAUUUGAUUAUGGUGUGUUACAGGGAAUGAUGCAUUUCCUUUUUAUGAGAUUGUUAUUAAUUUUAGACUCACAAUUUGAGUCGUGGUCCAUGUGGAUGGAAAUUGGUUUUCAAUUUAAAACACGUAAAAACCAGCAUCAGAGAUGGCUUUUAUUAGUUAAAUAAAACCAUUUAAAAUGUGCUAACUAUAGAGGAAAACAGAAUCUUAUCUGAGCACGCGUCUAAAACUGAUUUCCUAAACAAGAUGAGUGCUCUCUGCAAUGAGGGAGCUGAGUUCCUUGUACCAGAUCUUCAUAUUCUGUAUGGAUUUAAAAUGAAUGUAUUACUGCAGUUUUAUUCACGGGCAGGGAAAGGAGAAUGG
ensembl:lncRNA